rnacentral:rRNA from 1 species
UGGUAGUGUAUUGGACUACCAUGGCAGUCACGGGUAACGGAGAAUUAGGGUUCGAUUCCGGAGAGGGAGCCUGAGAAACGGCUACCACAUCUACGGAAGGCAGCAGGCGCGUAAAUUACCCAAUCCUGAUUCAGGAGGUAGUGACAAGAAAUAACAACUCGGGCAUUUUUUAAUGCUUCGAAUUUGCAAUGGGAACAAUCUAAAUCACUUAUCGAGGAACAAUUGGAGGGCAAGUCUGGUGCCAGCAGCCGCGGUAAUUCCAGCUCCAAUAGCGUAUAUUAAAGUUGUUGCAGUUAAAAAGCUCGUAGUUGAAUUUCUGAUUAUGAAUGUACUGGGUAACCGGUCCAUUUAUAGUCAUCCACAUGAGAACCUUUCUCGGCCUUCACUGGUCGGUUGGGGGAUCAUGUACUUUACUUUGAAAAAAUCAGAGUGUUUCAGGCAGGCGUUUGCAUGAAUACACAAGCAUGGAAUAAUGGAAUAGGACUAGGGUCCAUUUUAUUGGUUAUUGGACCAUAGUAAUGAUUAAUAGGGAC